CCUACGGGGUGCAGCAGUGAGGAAUAUUGGUCAAUGGACGGAAGUCUGAACCAGCCAUGCCGCGUGCAGGAAGACGGCUCUAUGAGUUGUAAACUGCUUUUGUACAAGGGUAAACCUGAAUACGUGUAUUCAGCUGAAAGUACUGUACGAAUAAGGAUCGGCUAACUCCGUGCCAGCAGCCGCGGUAAUACGGAGGAUCCAAGCGUUAUCCGGAUUUAUUGGGUUUAAAGGGUGCGUAGGCGGAUUGAUAAGUUAGAGGUGAAAUGUCCGAGCUUAACUCGGGAACUGCCUCUAAUACUGUUGAUCUAGAGAGUAGAUGCGGUAGGCGGAAUGUAUGGUGUAGCGGUGAAAGGCUUAGAGAUCAUACAGAACACCGAUUGCGAAGGCAGCUUACCAAUCUAUAUCUGACGUUGAGGCACGAAAGCGUGGGGAGCAAACAGGAUUAGAUACCCGGGUAGUC
rnacentral:rRNA from 1 species